rnacentral:rRNA from 1 species
GACGAACCGUCCUAACGUUGUUCGGAAUCACUGGGCUUAAAGGGCGCGUAGGCGGCCUUGAAAGUCGGGGGUGAAAUCCCACGGCCUAACCGUGGAAGUGCCUCCGAUACUGCAAGGCUCGAGGGAGGUAGGGGCAGCGGGAACUUCCGGUGGAGCGGUGAAAUGCGUUGAUAUCGGAAGGAACGCCGGUGGCGAAAGCGCGCUGCUGGACCUCUGCUGACGCUGAGGCGCGAAAGCCAGGGGAGCAAACAGG